CAGUCGCCGCGGUAAUACGUAGGUGGCAAGCGUUGUCCGGAAUUAUUGGGCGUAAAGCGCGCGCAGGCGGAUAGGUCAGUCUGUCUUAAAAGUUCGAGGCUUAACCCCGUGAUGGGAUGGAAACUGCCAAUCUAGAGUAUCGGAGAGGAAAGUGGAAUUCCUAGUGUAGCGGUGAAAUGCGUAGAUAUUAGGAAGAACACCAGUGGCGAAGGUGGCUUUUUGGCCUGUAACUGACACCGAGGCGCGAAAGCGUGGGGAGCAAACAGGAUUAGAGACCCCCGUAGUCCCUGUCUCUUAUACC
rnacentral:rRNA from 1 species